UACGUAGGGUGCAAGCGUUAUCCGGAAUUAUUGGGCGUAAAGAGCUCGUAGGCGGUUUGUCGCGUCUGCUGUGAAAGCCCGGGGCUCAACCCCGGGUCUGCAGUGGGUACGGGCAGACUAGAGUGCAGUAGGGGAGACUGGAAUUCCUGGUGUAGCGGUGAAAUGCGCAGAUAUCAGGAGGAACACCGAUGGCGAAGGCAGGUCUCUGGGCUGUUACUGACGCUGAGGAGCGAAAGCAUGGGGAGCGAACAGG
rnacentral:rRNA from 1 species